rnacentral:rRNA from 1 species
CAGCAGCCGCGGUAAUACCGGCGGCCCGAGUGGUGGCCGCUAUUAUUGGGCCUAAAGCGUCCGUAGCCGGGCCCGUAAGUCCCUGGCGAAAUCCCACGGCUCAACCGUGGGGCUUGCUGGGGAUACUGCUGGCCUAGGGACCGGGAGAGGCCGAGGGUAUUCCCGGGGUAGGGGUGAAAUCCUGUAAUCCCGGGAGGACCACCUGUGGCGAAGGCGCUCGGCUGGAACGGGUCCGACGGUGAGGGACGAAGGCCAGGGGAGCGAACCGGAUUAGAUACCCGGGUAGUCCUGGCGGUAAACGAUGCGGACUAGGUGUCGGGCAAGCUAAGGGCUUGUCCGGUGCCGCAGGGAAGCCGUUAAGUCCGCCGCCUGGGGAGUACGGCCGCAAGGCUGAAACUUAAAGGAAUUGGCGGG